UGCCAGCAGCCGCGGUAAUACGGAGGGAGCGAGCGUUAAUCGGAAUUACUGGGCGUAAAGCGCGCGUAGGCGGCUUUGUAAGUCGGAUGUGAAAGCCCUGGGCUCAACCUGGGAAUGGCAUUCGAUACUGCAUGGCUAGAGUAUGGUAGAGGGAAGUGGAAUUUCCGGUGUAGCGGUGAAAUGCGUAGAUAUCGGAAGGAACACCAGUGGCGAAGGCGACUUCCUGGGUCAACACUGACGCUCAGGCACGAAAGCAUGGGGAGCAAACAGGAUUAGAUA
rnacentral:rRNA from 1 species